AUUGAACGCUGGCGGCAUGCCUUACACAUGCAAGUCGAACGGCAGCACGGGAGCAAUCCUGGUGGCGAGUGGCGAACGGGUGAGUAAUACAUCGGAACGUGCCCAGUAGUGGGGGAUAACCCGGCGAAAGCCGGACUAAUACCGCAUACGACCUACGGGUGAAAGCGGGGGAUCGCAAGACCUCGCGCUAUCGGAGCGGCCGAUGUCAGAUUAGCUAGUUGGUGAGGUAAAGGCCUACCAAGGCGACGAUCUGUAGCUGGUCUGAGAGGACGACCAGCCACACUGGGACUGAGACACGGCCCAGACUCCUACGGGAGGCAGCAGUGGGGAAUUUUGGACAAUGGGCGCAAGCCUGAUCCAGCCAUGCCGCGUGCGGGAAGAAGGCCUUCGGGUUGUAAACCGCUUUUGUCAGGGAAGAAACGCUCCGGGCUAAUACCACGGAGUAAUGACGGUACCUGAAGAAUAAGCACCGGCUAACUACGUG
rnacentral:rRNA from 1 species